CUUAAGAAAUCACCCACGACUUUAGGGCAUUCUUUUCUUCUAACUCUACGCAGAUUUUUAUUUUUAGAAUAUAGUUUAUAUCAAAAUAUAAAAAAGUUUCUCAAAUUCCAAAUCGUGUGGUAUCCUUUCCAAGGACUAUCCCGCAGAUAUCGCUUCACGAAGGUUAAGAACAGACCUGCUUGGUGUCUUCUUUAUACGAUGAACACAAAGUGGAUGCUAUCGCAAGAGACGCUGAAGGAGGGUGCAUUGGUUGUGAUAAAGAACAAGUCCUGUCAACCAGUCAUGUGGUUGCUGGGGCGAAUUGUUCGAGUGCUUACGAGUGAAGAUGGAGUUGCAAG